rnacentral:rRNA from 1 species
GACGAACGCUGGCGGCGUGCUUAACACAUGCAAGUCGAACGGUGAAGCGCCUUCCUUUUUGGUGGGUGUGGAUGAGUGGCGAACGGGUGAGUAACACGUGAGUAACCUGCCCCCUUCUUCUGGAUAACCGCAUGAAAGUGUGGCUAAUACGGGAUAUUCUGGGUCUGUCGCAUGAUGGGUCUGGGAAAGAUAUUGUUUCGGUGGGGGAUGGGCUCGCGGCCUAUCAGCUUGUUGGUGGGGUGAUGGCCUACCAAGGCGGUGACGGGUAGCCGGCCUGAGAGGGUGGACGGUCACACUGGGACUGAGACGCGGCCCAGACUCCGACGGGAGGCAGCAGGGGGGAAUAGUGCACAAUGGGCGCAAGCCUGAUGCAGCGACGCCGCGUGAGGGAUGGAGGCCUGCGGGUUGUGAACCUCUUUCGCCAGUGAAGCAGGCCUGCCUCGUUUGUGGGUGGGUUGACGGUAGCUGGAUAAGAAGCGCCGGCUAACUACGUG